GGGCCCGUGGCACAAUUGGUUAGCGCGCCUGGCUGGCAGUCAGGAGGUUGGGGGUUCGAGACCCCCCGGGUCCA
rfam:Microgenomates (Woesebacteria) bacterium GW2011_GWB1_38_8 TT08_C0003, whole genome shotgun sequence.